UGGUUGAAUCAGAAUCGUGAUUGCAAUUAAUGUGAACUAUCAUGAAAUGCAUUUUGUUGGUAAGUUUAAUCAUAAUAAGUGAAAAACUUUUUGUUCAAUCAACUCAAUAUGUACCAGGUUGCUGGUGGACUGGAUGUCAACCAUCUGACUGGGAUGUUCGAGGAUGUUCUGUGUAUAACAAAACUGAAAAGGCGACGAAAAACUGCGUGACCGAAGGAAAAAAUGGAACGAAAUAUAACUGCUGUGAUUUUGCCAGCAUAAGCACCAAACGUAAUAUGUGUCUAUCGAUAUUUUUCGUUAAUGAGCCAGGAUCAAGUGGAAUAUUCUUAAAAAUGUGUUUUAUUCAUUACAGUAAAUUCAAGUAGAAAUUUUGAUCAGAAUGAUU